rnacentral:lncRNA from 1 species
AAAGUUCUCAUACUUGUGGGUGAGUAGUUGAGUAUUCUCCUAAAAAUGAAGAAAUGUAUUUUCCAUAAAAAUGAACAAAAAUAAACUCCCUUUGUUAUUUUUACCAUGAACUACGAGGUUUUGAUCCUCUAUUGCACUUUGUUGAUACGUAGGCAUAAGACUUCAAAAUUUUUGGCAAACAACAAAUCAUAAUGAAAAUGCUUAUUU